CUGGAGGUAUCAGAAGUGCGAAUGCUGACAUAAGUAACGAUAAAGCGGGUGAAAAGCCCGCUCGCCGGAAGACCAAGGGUUCCUGUCCAACGUUAAUCGGGGCAGGGUGAGUCGACCCCUAAGGCGAGGCCGAAAGGCGUAGUCGAUGGGAAACAGGUUAAUAUUCCUGUACUUGGUGUUACUGCGAAGGGGGGACGGAGAAGGCUAUGUUGGCCGGGCGACGGUUGUCCCGGUUUAAGCGUGUAGGCUGGUUUUCCAGGCAAAUCCGGAAAAUCAAGGCUGAGGCGUGAUGACGAGGCACUACGGUGCUGAAGCAACAAAUGCCCUGCUUCCAGGAAAAGCCUCUAAGCAUCAGGUAACAUCAAAUCGUACCCCAAACCGACACAGGUGGUCAGGUAGAGAAUACCAAGGCGCUUGAGAGAACUCGGGUGAAGGAACUAGGCAAAAUGGUGCCGUAACUUCGGGAGAAGGCACGCUGAUAUGUAGGUGAAGCGACUUGCUCGUGGAGCUGAAAUCAGUCGAAGAUACCAGCUGGCUGCAACUGUUUAUUAAAAACACAGCACUGUGCAAACACGAAAGUGGACGUAUACGGUGUGACGCCUGCCCGGUGCCGGAAGGUUAAUUGAUGGGGUUAGCGCAAGCGAAGCUCUUGAUCGAAGCCCCGGUAAACGGCGGCCGUAACUAUAACGGUCCUAAGGUAGCGAAAUUCCUUGUCGGGUAAGUUCCGACCUGCACGAAUGGCGUAAUGAUGGCCAGGCUGUCUCCACCCGAGACUCAGUGAAAUUGAACUCGCUGUGAAGAUGCAGUGUACCCGCGGCAAGACGGAAAGACCCCGUGAACCUUUACUAUAGCUUGACACUGAACAUUGAGCCUUGAUGUGUAGGAUAGGUGGGAGGCUUUGAAGUGUGGACGCCAGUCUGCAUGGAGCCGACCUUGAAAUACCACCCUUUAAUGUUUGAUGUUCUAACGUUGACCCGUGAUCCGGGUUGCGGACAGUGUCUGGUGGGUAGUUUGACUGGGGCGGUCUCCUCCUAAAGAGUAACGGAGGAGCACGAAGGUUGGCUAAUCCUGGUCGGACAUCAGGAGGUUAGUGCAAUGGCAUAAGCCAGCUUGACUGCGAGCGUGACGGCGCGAGCAGGUGCGAAAGCAGGUCAUAGUGAUCCGGUGGUUCUGAAUGGAAGGGCCAUCGCUCAACGGAUAAAAGGUACUCCGGGGAUAACAGGCUGAUACCGCCCAAGAGUUCAUAUCGACGGCGGUGUUUGGCACCUCGAUGUCGGCUCAUCACAUCCUGGGGCUGAAGUAGGUCCCAAGGGUAUGGCUGUUCGCCAUUUAAAGUGGUACGCGAGCUGGGUUUAGAACGUCGUGAGACAGUUCGGUCCCUA
rnacentral:rRNA from 1 species